GAGAAAUAAAGAAUUCUUUUAAAGUAACUGGUGCUAAAAAACAAAAGCAUUCAAGUAGAGUAUAGAAUUAGGACCUAAAUUCAGAGGGAGGUAUGGAGUGAGCGAGAGCAGGUUUCCAAUU